AUUGAACGCUGGCGGCAGGCCUAACACAUGCAAGUCGAGCGGAAGAAGGGAGCUUGCUCCUGGAUUCAGCGGCGGACGGGUGAGUAAUGCCUAGGAAUCUGCCUGGUAGUGGGGGAUAACGUCCGGAAACGGGCGCUAAUACCGCAUACGUCCUGAGGGAGAAAGUGGGGGAUCUUCGGACCUCACGCUAUCAGAUGAGUCUAGGUCGGAUUAGCUAGUUGGUGGGGUAAAGGCCUACCAAGGCGACGAUCCGUAACUGGUCUGAGAGGAUGAUCAGUCACACUGGAGCGGGGACACGGUCCAGACUACUACGGGAGGGAGCAGUGGGGAAUAUUGGACAAUGGGCGAAAGCCUGAUCCAGCCAUGCCGCGUGUGUGAAGAAGGUCUUCGGAUUGUAAAGCACUUUAAGUUGGGAGGAAGGGCAGUAAGUUAAUACCUUGCUGGUUUGACGUUACCAACAGAAUAAGCACCGGCUAACUUCGUG
rnacentral:rRNA from 1 species